ACAUGGUUACAACAUAGUGUUAAUGCACAAAAUCCCAUUAGAACUUUGUAGUUAAGUGCACUCAGGCUAGAGUAGUACUAGGAUGGGUGAUCACCCGAGAAGUCCUAGUGUUUUACAUGCC
rfam:Picea glauca, whole genome shotgun sequence.